UACGGAAGGCAGCAGUGGGGAAUAUUGCACAAUGGGCGAAAGCCUGAUGCAGCUAUGCCGCGUGUAUGAAGAAGGCCUUAGGGUUGUAAAGUACUUUCAUCGGGGAGGGAAAAACAAAACUAAUAAUUUUAUUUCUUGACGUUACCCGAAAAAGAAGCACCGGCUAACUCCGUGCCAGCAGCCGCGGUAAUACGGAGGGUGCUAGCGUUAAUCAGAAUUACUGGGCGUAAAGAGCACGUAGGUGGUUUUUUUAAGUCAGAUGUGAAUCCCUGGGCUUAACCUAGGAACUGCAUUUUGAAACUGAAAUACUAGAGUAUCGUAGAGGGAGGUAGAAUUCUAGGUGUAGCGGUGAAAUGCGUAGAUAUCUGGAGGAAUACCUGUGGCGAAAGCGGCCUCCUAAACGAAUACUGACACUGAGGUGCGAAAGCGUGGGGAGCGAAACAGGGAUUAGAUACC
rnacentral:rRNA from 1 species